ensembl:lncRNA
GUUAUCAGUUGCAACGUUUGAUCACACGAUCGUGAAGGCAAGAAGCUGGAUAAUGGGCUCUCUUUUCAUCGUUUUUCAACCUGGAGGCAACGUGAGGGAUCCCAUGUAUCCGAUAUUACUAAACAAAGACGUCAGGCUUGCAUUGCAGCGGUGAGACGAGCGGAUCGAGUUCUCUGCAGUCCCCAGCUUUUUGUUGGUUUGCUCUCCGCAAUUUCUUUCCGCGCAUACACAGCAAACCAGUUUAAGAAUUAUAAAUCCCUGGAGGCCCACAUCCAAUUCACGAACGGCUGGGUGCAAGAUUUGUCCAUCUUCAUGCCUCCACGCUGCGACAACUGUACGUUGUCGUUAAGACAAAGGUACUGCACUCACAACGACUGAAUGAAACUGCACUGUGACCUCGUUGUGUGGACACAGAGAGACCUUCUGUCAUACGCAUCUUCCCUGAUGUGGAUUUCUGGGAACCACGUUUAAAGCAAGCACAAGAGUUCUUUCUUAAAGUGUGUCUUCCUGAACUUGUUGGGAAAUACUUCUCCAAACAAUGUGCUGCUCUAAAUAGCCUGUAAUGUUUCAUUUUGUGAUUCAAGAUUGAUGCCAGCUGUGUGUUGCCAUGUAAAUAGUUUGCAUUUCAUUUCUAUGUACUUGCUAAGUACAUGUGAUAAGAUCAAGAAUAAAAAAAACAAAACAUGUAUACUAUUCUUUUCUGUUUUAUUGAAAUU